rnacentral:lncRNA from 1 species
UAAGAGAGGUGAUUCUUCUCAGUCCCACCACUUGGUGAUUAAAGUGAAUUUCUUUGAGUUUAAGGAAUUUGAGCACCGUGUUGUAGGAUGCUUUGAGUAGAAUAUUAGCUGGCCAAUUGAAAUAGAAGGUGAAGAAAAAAAAACAGAGCAGAAGAAAUAUUUGAAGUAAUAAUGGAUGACAAUUUUCCAAAAGUAACAACACACACCAAAUACAAAUCCAAGGAGCUCAGAGAAUACCAAGGAGGAUAAAUAUCAAAUUCUACGCUUAGACAUAUAUUAUUCAAACUGCAGGAAAGCAAAGACAGAGACAUCUUGAAAGGAGGCCAAAGGUGAACAAAACACCUUACCUAGAGAGAAAUAAAGACAAGAAUUACAUGGACUGCUCAUCAGAAACUGUGCAAGAAAGAAGAGAGUGGGGUAAAAUAUUCAAAGAGUUUACAGUAAGGAAAAUUAUCCAAAUCUAGAUUUCUGUAUUCAGUGAAAUUAUCCUUCAGUGGUGAAGAAGAAAUAAAGACAUUUUCAGACAAACUAAAACUAAGGAGCUUCAUGGCCUUUUAAGUAAUGUUAAAAGAAGUUCUUCAAGGAGAAGAAAAAUUAUAUAGGUAAGAAACUGCAUCUGCAUAAAGAAAAGAAGUGUAUCAUAGGAGGAAUAAAUGAAAAAUAAAAUCUUUUAUUUUCUUACUCUAAAUUGAUCAACAAAAAUGUAUUGGGUGAUUAAAGCACAAAAAUAAAUGAAAUAAAUGUCAACAAUGUCAUAAAGAAUGGGAGGGAGGAAUUGGGAAUACAUACUCUGUUAUAAGAUACCUACACAAUGUAUGAAGUGAUAUUUGUGUUAUUUUAUUUAUUCGAAGUAUUAUUUGAAGGUGGACUGAGAUUAGCUAACAACAUAUAUUGCAAACCCUAAGGGAACCACUAAAAAAAUGUUUUUUAAGUAUAAUUGACAUUCUAAGAGAGGAGAUACAGUGGAAUCAUGAAAUGUCAGUUAAAACCAGAGAAGACAGAAAAAGAGGGAUAGUGGCAAAGAACAAAU